GGGCUCAUAGUAAAGUGGUAUUACGCGGCAUUCGCAUUGCCGAGUCCCGGGUUCGACUCCCGGUGAGUCCACCA
rnacentral:tRNA from 1 species